GGUGAUAUAGCUCAAUGGUAGAGCACUUGCCUAGCAUGCACAAGGCUCCAGUUCCAUCUCUGGUACCACAA
rnacentral:tRNA from 1 species